rnacentral:rRNA from 1 species
UGAGCAAUCUGCCCUUCACAUCGGAAUAACCAUUGGAAACGAUGGCUAAUACCGAAUAUGACUUCGGAUCGCAUGAUCUGAAGUGGAAAGCUCGGCGGUGAAGGAUGAGCUCGCGGCCUAUCAGCUUGUUGGUGAGGUAAUAGCUCACCAAGGCGAUGACGGGUAGCCGGCCUGAGAGGGUGACCGGCCACACUGGGACUGAGACACGGCAGA